rnacentral:rRNA from 1 species
CCUACGGGUGGCAGCAGUGAGGAAUAUUGGUCAAUGGACGAGAGUCUGAACCAGCCAAGUAGCGUGAAGGAUGACUGCCCUAUGGGUUGUAAACUUCUUUUAUAUGGGAAUAAAACGUUCCACGUGUGGGAUUUUGUAUGUACCAUAUGAAUAAGGAUCGGCUAACUCCGUGCCAGCAGCCGCGGUAAUACGGGAGAUCCGAGCGUUAUCCGGAUUUAUUGGGUUUAAAGGGAGCGUAGGUGGAUUGUUAAGUCAGUUGUGAAAGUUUGCGGCUCAACCGUAAAAUUGCAGUUGAAACUGGCAGUCUUGAGUACAGUAGAGGUGGGCGGAAUUCGUGGUGUAGCGGUGAAAUGCUUAGAUAUCACGAAGAACUCCGAUUGCGAAGGCAGUUCACUGGACUGCAACUGACACUGAGGCUCGAAAGUGUGGGUAUCAAACAGGAUUAGAUACCCCAGUAGUC